AUUGAACGCUGGCGGCAUGCCUUACACAUGCAAGUCGAACGGCAGCACGGACUUCGGUCUGGUGGCGAGUGGCGAACGGGUGAGUAAUGUAUCGGAACGUACCCUUCAGUGGGGAUAACUAUCCGAAAGGAUAGCUAAUACCGCAUAUUCUCUGAGGAGGAAAGCGGGGGAUCGCAAGACCUCGCGCUGAUGGAGCGGCCGAUAUCAGAUUAGCUAGUUGGUGGGGUAAAGGCCUACCAAGGCGACGAUCUGUAGCGGGUCUGAGAGGAUGAUCCGCCAACCUGGGACUGAGACACGGCCCAGACUCCUACGGGAGGCAGCAGUGGGGAAUUUUGGGCAAUGGGGGCAACCCUGAUCCAGCCAUGCCGCGUGAGUGAAGAAGGCCUUCGGGUUGUAAAGCUCUUUCGGCCGGGAAGAAAUCGCGUGAGUUAAUACCUUGCGUGGAUGACGGUACCGGAAUAAGAAGCACCGGCUAACUACGUGCCAGCCGCCGCGGUAACAC
rnacentral:rRNA from 1 species